UACGUAGGGCGCAAGCGUUGUCCGGAAUUAUUGGGCGUAAAGAGCUCGUAGGCGGCUUGUCACGUCGGGUGUGAAAGACCGGGGCUUAACCCCGGUUCUGCAUUCGAUACGGGCUGGCUAGAGUGUGGUAGGGGAGACUGGAAUUCCUGGUGUAGCGGUGAAAUGCGCAGAUAUCAGGAGGAACACCGGUGGCGAAGGCGGGUCUCUGGGCCGAUACUGACGCUGAGGAGCGAAAGCGUGGGGAGCGAACAGG
rnacentral:rRNA from 1 species